rnacentral:tRNA from 1 species
GUCCCCAUCGUCUAGAGGCCUAGGACACCGGCCUUUCACGCCGGUAACAGGGGUUCGAAUCCCCUUGGGGACGCCA